GAGCUCCUGAGCAUUUUUACUUUAAAUUCAUGUCCUCCUUUUUUAUUUUGGUGAUGGUUGAAGGUGGACUAGUCCACUGAGGUCCACCGUAGAAGAAGAUCGGAGUUGCAGCUCCGGCGAUGCGUUGGCAUGUCUCAGACCAUAUGGUCCUCUCAUUUUGUUUUAAUCUCACGCGUUGGUUUUAAUUUCCAUCCUUGGAGUGCAUUGACUAGAGUCCAUUGUGGAAUGCGCAUUGAGAUCCAUUUGAUAUGCCAUCUUAAUUAAU
rnacentral:lncRNA from 1 species